AUCUAUUAUAUCUGCAAUGUUUUUUUUUCAUCUUUCAUAGGUGACGGUCGUAUGGAUAGUCCUGGGUUUUCAGCACAGUACUGUACAUACACAACGAUGGACAACGACAGUAAAGAGAUCAUAUCGAUUGUCAAUAUUGAUAAGAGGGAGACCCAGAAGAAUUCUGUAAUCAUGGAGAAGGAGGCUUUCAUCCGGACCUUUGAGACUCUCCACCAAGAGAUUCGCCUACAAGAGUUUUGCACUGAUGCUCAUUCACAGAUCUCGGCGCUCUUCAAUCCAACAAAAGGCAGGUUCAAGGACUCUGGUGUUCGACACACCCUUGACAUCUGGCAUGGGUCAAAGAACUUGGGUAAAAAAAUCCAUGCAGCAGGCCUUCGGAAAGGAUGUUCAAUUCUCCUUACCUGGAGUAAGGAGAUAUGCAACCAUUUCUGGUAUUGCUGUAAGACUGCACAGAACACUAAUCAG
rnacentral:lncRNA from 1 species